rfam:Aureococcus anophagefferens unplaced genomic scaffold ATRANscaffold_5, whole genome shotgun sequence.
GUCGGUAUGGCCCAAUGGAUAAGGCGCGUGACUACGGAUCACGAGAUUCUGGGUUCGAAUCCCAGUAUCGAUU